UUAAUUGUAGAGUAGUAUGAAGGGUUUAACAAUGGAUAACUGUUUAUUUUUAAUAAUGUAAUUUAAAUUUUAAGUAAAAAUGCUUAAAUAAAAUAAAGGGACAAUAAGACCCUAAAAGCUUUAAUCAGUUAUUAAGUUAAGUUAAUUUAUUGAAGAUUUAAAAUAAAUGUUAUUAGCUGGGGUAGUUUAUUUAUAAAAUUUAGAUUUUGUAAAAACUAGAAUUAGGUUAUACGAUCUUUUUUAUAAAGAUGUAUUGAAUUAGUUACUUUAGGGAUAACAGCGUGAUAAUUUUGGAGAGAACAUAUCAAUAAAGUUGAUUGCGACCUCGAUGUUGAAUUAGGAAAGUUUUAUGGUGCAGAAGAUAUAGAAUGUGG
rnacentral:rRNA from 1 species